rnacentral:rRNA from 1 species
UACGGAGGGGGCUAGCGUUAUUCGGAAUUAUUGGGCGUAAAGGGCGCGUAGGCGGCCCGGUAAGUCAAAGGUGAAAUCCCUCGGCUCAACUGAGGAACUGCCUUUGAAACUGUCGGGCUUGAGGCCGGGAGGGGGUAGCGGAAUUCCCAGUGUAGCGGUGAAAUGCGUAGAUAUUGGGAGGAACACCGGUGGCGAAGGCGCUACCUGGACCGGUUCUGACGCUGAUGCGCGAAAGCGUGGGUAGCAAACAGG